CUUUAGUUUGGAGUAGCUUCUGUUAUUGCCUUAGUCGCUUCAGGCUGCUGCUAUUUCUUUGUAGCUGAUGUUGUAGGUUGUUCAAUUUUUAUUUUUUUUGUAGCAUUUAGUUCCCUCUGGUCUCAAAUGGGAGGGUAGUGGCUGUUCUCUAGUGUUGAGGUUUAGAGUUCCUUUGCUCUUGAACCUUUUAGAAACAAUGUUUUAAGUUAAGCUAUAAUUCAAUUUUUAGGACAUAAUGUUUUUAAAUGGAGUGGAGAAUGCAACACCCCCAAUAUUU
rnacentral:lncRNA from 1 species